ACCAGUGACAAAAGUGUGCGGGAUGAACAGUAGAACUAGUUAAAUAAAGUGACACGGUUUUUAAUACGAAAUAAAGAGAUUUAGUGAGCGAAACACAGAAAAGAUCAUCUUCUCCGUCUCAUUCUUUGUGUUGACAAGACCAUAUUAUACACGAUAAGGCGAUGAAGUCCUGUGCCAAAAUAGUCGGUCAAAUCAAAGACAGUAAUAGGCCAUGCAGAAAGCGUAAGAAGGCAACGCCAGCAAUUCCAUUACCAAAGAACACUUCAGCAGUACCUGGGCCAUAUACUCAGCGAGAUUUGAAAUCGUCUGAAUCUACUCAUACAUCUAUUUAUCGUCUGAAUCGUAAGCUGUGUAAGGUGAUCAACGAUUCCUGCUUCUUUUGUAAUUCAUUAUAAUGUAAAUAAUUUUUCAAUCACAUCA